rnacentral:rRNA from 1 species
AUUGAACGCUGGCGGCAGGCCUAACACAUGCAAGUCGAGCGGCAGCGGGAAAGUAGCUUGCUACUUUUGCCGGCGAGCGGCGGACGGGUGAGUAAUGCCUGGGGAUCUGCCCAGUCGAGGGGGAUAACUACUGGAAACGGUAGCUAAUACCGCAUACGCCCUACGGGGGAAAGCAGGGGACCUUCGGGCCUUGCGCGACUGGCUGAACCCGGGUGGGAUUAGCUAGUUGGUGAGGUAAUGGCUCACCAAGGCGACGAUCCCUAGCUGGUCUGAGAGGAUGAUCAGCCACACUGGAACUGAGACACGGUCCAGACUCCUACGGGAGGCAGCAGUGGGGAAUAUUGCACAAUGGGGGAAACCCUGAUGCAGCCAUGCCGCGUGUGUGAAGAAGGCCUUCGGGUUGUAAAGCACUUUCAGCGAGGAGGAAAGGUUGGUAGCUAAUAACCGCCAGCUGUGACGUUACUCGCAGAAGAAGCACCGGCUAACUACGUGCCAGCCGCCGCAGUAACAC